rnacentral:tRNA from 1 species
ACUAGGGUAGCAAAGUAGUAAUGCUACAGAUUUAGGUUUUGUUAUUUAAGGGUUCAAUUCCCUUUCUUAGUU